UACGGAGGAUGCGAGCGUUAUCCGGAUUUAUUGGGUUUAAAGGGUGCGUAGGUUGUUUUUUAAGUCAGCGGUGAAAGUUUGUGGCUCAACCAUAAAAUUGCCGUUGAAACUGGUAGACUCGAGUGUGGUAGAGGCAAGUGGAACUUCUAGUGUAGCGGUAAAAUGCGUAGAUAUUAGAAAGAACACCAGUGGCGAAGGCGACUUGCUGGGCCAUCACUGACGGUCAGGGACGAAAGCGUGGGGAGCAAAUAGG
rnacentral:rRNA from 1 species